UAGGCGGGGCUGUUCUGGGGGCGGGGUUGUCCCGUAGGCGGGGCCAUCCUGGAGGCAGGCCUGUCCCUGAGUCUGGGAGGCAUCGGAAACAGCUGUCCGGAGGCAGGCCGCAGGUUGGGGUGAGGCGGGGCCGUCACUGAGGCUAGGCCGGGGCGUUAUUUCCGCGCCCUGAGCCACGCCCGUGGUCUCCCGCGCUAUUUGCUGGCCCCACCUGGGGCCGUUCAGCGGGCUCUCGGGGCGCCUACCAGAGGCAGAAACUAAAAACCAUGGAUUCAGGCUGCCAGAAGCCUAAAAUAAAACAGAACAACAACAACAACAAAAUAAGGCAUGUUGGAUAAGCUUCGAAAUGGCUAUUGCUUAUGCAAAGGUGCAGACCCCCAGAUCUUUCCUUUUACUUAGGAGAAAACAGAAGCCAUUCAAUGAAAGUCAACAUAUCCUUACUGGACACUUAUUCUGUGAGACACUCUGGGAGAUAGAAAUGCUAUUAUGGUCAAUAAAUCUAGAGAGGAGAAAAGACGUGAAAACAACUCUAAUAUCAGGUCAACUAAUCUAAGUACCAAAAUUAGGUGCAAGGGCACAUAAAGGUAGCAGCAAUUAUUUCUGAUCCAAGGAUUAGAGAAGAAUGUGCAGCGAAGGUGACACAGAAACUCAGCUUAGAAAAAUGUAUGUUUAUGGGCAGAUAAGGGUGGAGAGUAUUACAAUGUGAGGCUGUAUAAUAUUCCAAAACAUGGAGAUAUGAAUGUGAAAGGCUCAAUUUGAGAAAGACAAAAUAUUCAUAGCGGCUGAAACUAGUUAGCAGGACUUUCAUAGUGUUACCUCUAAAGAAGUUUGGGCUAGGUUUAGAGGGACUUCGACUGCUGUGCUAGGGAGUUUUGAUUCCAUUCUGCAGUUUGGAGGAAUAUUUUUUUUUUAAAGCAUCAUUUAGUAAACACUGUGGUUGCCUCCUCAGCAUCUGUUCCCUAUACUGCCCCUAUUUUCCUUUCUAGCCAAAUUCAUUUAUCAGAUAAUCCACCUCUCCCUUAUGAGAUUCAGGGUACAAUGAAGUCAUCUCCAGUUCCAAGCAUAGAUCUAUACUAGCUUAAGUCAGGCAGGUUAACUCAUACUUUUUGUGCUUCCAUGAUAGACUCUUUCUAGGUAUACAUAAUAAAUAUACAUAAACAAAAUUACUUCAUUGUCCAGCAUAUGCAAGAGACAAACACAAAUCAGAAAUAUUGUUACCAAUGGUACCUCAGUCUAUUUUUUGUCAAAUAGUGAGCAAUUGCUGCAGUGAUUGCAGUUUAUCACUAAGCCAAAUGCAGGGGAUACUCAUACGUGUGCCUUCUAAUGGUGGGCUAGUAUUAAUAGUCACUGUCUCCUUCUUAAAUUAUUUUCAGUCAUGAGCUUAACUUAAUGUGGUACCAUAUAUUCUUUCUUCUAAGGACCUUAAGAAUCUGGAAAGAAUUAGCCACACUCUAAUUUAGGAACAGAGAUGGAUGAAUCUACCUAUGGACAUUUACUGGUAUGAGUCACUGGGGAGGUUUACCAAGUCACUAUUUAAGAUGAUCCAAAACAGGUGUCUACAGCUGCUUUAAGAAUCAGUACUGUGGUGGCCAUGAAAAUGUUCUUCUCAGAUGUCCAACUGCAGGGGGUGGGUAUGAAAUUGCAGAUGGCCCCAGCUGGUGUGCUCUGGAAUCCUUGGCACCAAGACCAUGCUGCCAAGGGCUUCUCCAGGCUAGUGAAUAAAAUGUAGUGGUGAUCCUAAGGCAGGCCUAUUCCUGGAAGACAUGGGAUUCUUCUGAUGGGUGACUUUGGCUCAAGGACUCCUCAUUGUCUUGAAAGAAACUCUCUGAGACCUAUACUUUUUUUUCUUUUGCUGUCUCCUUCCCAAGGGUUAAACCUACAUUGCAGUCUGAUGGUGGUUCUCCCGGCCUCUUCUGGCUCUCUCUACAUUUUCUCUCACAGGCAUUUCCUUUAUAAAAUCUCUUGCAUAUCUGAUCCGAUCUUGGUUUCUACUUCUUGGAGUACCCAGAAUAACAGAAGUACCAUCAUAAUUAUAUCUCCUCACUUUAAAACUCUCAAGUAUAAUUACUAAAAUUGUGUUGUAGUGGGAGUAAAAAGCAAAGUUAAUAACUUGAGAGUAUUUAUGAAACAGCCAUUAAGUUUCAUUCUUUAGUACGUUUAUAAUAACUUUUAUUCAAAUUAUAGAAUGGUCUAUAUCCAAGGGCAAGUUCCUGAUUCGUAUUCACUGACAACAGUGUAACUUUGAAGCAAUGAGGGAGUUUGUUGCUUCUCAUGACAAGUGGCCAGCCCUAAUUCAGAGUUACAAAAGCUUUCGUAUUCUGCUUUGGUAUGUUUGUAAAAUUUACUUGGGGCUACACUUUUUUUUUUUCUGUUUGGAUUAUAAGUGUGUGAAACAUAUGUGGUAAGAGCCAGUUAUAUUCCAAUCACAGAGAAUGUCUUGGAACAUGUCACUGCCAAGGUACUGAAACUUUCUUCCUCUAGUAAGGGACAAGGCUGGGGUGGAAGUGAGGAGAGAUAUUCUUACAUUUAUAAACUGUUCCUCCCAUGACCAGACCAGACAUAAAGUUUGGUUUUGUACUGAAGAUUUUAGUUGUCUGGGAGCCAGUGGAACUAAGUGAGCCCAAGAAUAAGAGUGGGUGUCCUUUUUUGCUUUCUGCCUUUGAAAUAUCAGACCUUUGGACAGGUGCUCAAUAGAUCCAAUUUUCUUUAAGUGCACCUACGUCAGUGUAAUAUAAAUGUCUUCAUUCACAAUCCCACAAGCGUUGUAAAUAAAGUGCUGGGUGGGUACUGUAUGGGAACUGAGGGUCAUUGUAGGUCAAUACCACAUAAGAAAACUACUACAGAGAAAGAGUGAGUCAAAAUCCCUACUCCUAUGGGACCAGCAUAUAUUAUUGUCUAUUUAUUUACUUAUUUGAAAAUGUAAACAAUUAUUUCCAAAUUGAUUUAUUCCGAAGUUCCUGUGACAUCAAGAUUAUUCCUUCUCAAGUCUUUUCAUUAUAUAUUGUGACUUGUAGUCUUAAUUUCAUUUUGGUUUGCCCCAAGACUUCCACCAAGUCUAGCGGAUCUGUAGGGAACCAUCCUUUCCCAAGGUACAUCAUGCAUAAUUUCUGCUAUUAAUAUUUUUUUUCAGUAUGUCCCUUGUGGUCAAUCAAGAGUGGUGCAGAUUUGAAUCUCUAUAAGAGGAGCAACGAUUCUUUUUUCCUUUUCAACUGAU